rnacentral:tRNA from 1 species
GCGAAGGUGGCGGAAUGGCAGACGCGCUGGGUUCAGGUUCCAGUGGGUAACACCGUGGGGGUUCAAGUCCCCCCCUUCGCA